rnacentral:rRNA from 1 species
UUGCAGUUAAAAAGCUCGUAGUUGGAUUUCUGCGUGAGCGGGGCGGCCGGCCACAAUAGUGGCCCGCGCUAGCUAUGUUCGCGCAUCCGGUCGGAAGCCGUACUACCAUUCAUUUGGUGGUGCCGGUGAACGGCCCGUUUACUUUGAGAAAAAUAGAGUGUUCAAAGCAGGCCAUUUGCCUUGAAUAAUUUAGCAUGGAAUAAUAAUAAAGGACUACGGUUCUAUUUUGUUGGUGUUCGGGACCGAAGUAAUGAUUGAUAGGGACAGUUGGGGGCGUCAGUAUUCCAAAGCGAGAGGUGAAAUUCUUAGACCUUCGGAAGACUAACCGCUGCGAAAGCGUUCGCCAAGGAUGUUCCCUUUGAUCAAGAACGAAAGUUGGGGGAUCGAAGACGAUCAGAUACCGUCGUAGUCUCAACUAUAAACUAUACCAGCUAGGGAUCGGCCAAUGUUGGUUACAUAGACUUGGUCGGCACCUUAUGAGAAAUCAAAGCAUCUGGGUUCCGGGGGGAGUAUGGUCGCAAGGCUGAAACUUAAAGGAAUUGACGGAAGGGCACCACCAGGCGUGGAGCCUGUGGCUUAAUUUGACUC